ensembl:lncRNA
ACCUGUCUUAGCUCAUUAAGCUCCCUAUAUCACUGCACUCUCCCCACUGCCUUGUCAUCUAAGCUGUGUCCCAAACUUAAGUGCAUGGACUCCAGACUGCACAUUUGAAGUCUGAAUGUGUCACAGUGGUGUGACAAAGGCUGUCCCAAACUGAAGUGCGAUAGUGUCACGACGUAAGCUGUCCCAAAGAAAGACAAAGCUGUCCCUCUGAAGACCGCAUUUCAAGGCUGAUUGCAUCACUGCGGUGCGACGAAGGCCGAUGUAUUUCAAAAGCGAUUGAAACACUUCGCACCCUACCAUAUCCCAGAGUCACUUGCAUGCAGAUGACGAUGGUGUUUCUAUUCAAAGAUCAGGGCAGGAGGUGAAUCUCUUGGUGAAUGGCCAGCACCACCUCAGCGACUCGGAGGACAAUGCGGUAACAGUGGAACGAGGCACAGAAGACAGAAAAGAAACACCAGGGUCUGGAUUGUAGCACUUCUCAGAAGAUCCAGCAGCACUGUCAGGGCCUCCCUGCUCAGCCCAAAACCAUUAAAAACCUGUCCUGCGCUGGCACAUUCAAAUUUAUCCUGCAUUUUGUUUUAUUUUUGCUAACCUGUCUACAUAUGAUCACCAUGGUC